rnacentral:rRNA from 1 species
UGGGGAAUUUUGCGCAAUGGACGAAAGUCUGACGCAGCAACGCCGCGUGGGUGAUGAAGGUCUUCGGACUGUAAAACCCUGUCGUCAGGGACGAAGAUGUAUACGUUAAUAGCGUGUGCAUUUGACGGUACCUGGAGAGGAAGCCCCGGCUAACUCUGUGCCAGCAGCCGCGGUAAUACAGAGGGGGCAAGCGUUAUUCGGAAUUAUUGGGCGUAAAGGGCGCGUAGGCGGUUUUUUAAGUCAGAUGUGU